rnacentral:lncRNA from 1 species
UGGGGAUCUUAUGGUCCCUCGUUGAUCCUCAGAUUGGAAGCCAUGGUUGGUGCAAUUGGGAUUGCUAUGGUGCAAUAUAGAGAAUCUAGACUGGCGGUCGGUGGUGAUCAUUAGCAUCAAAAAAUCAAAAAGAGAGAUAGAACCAAAGAGAAAAAAAUAAGAGAUUUUUCGAGCUUUUUUUUUUUCGAUAAAAUCCCGAUUGUUGGGCUGCCAAAAUCCAUGCUCCUUGGGC